GGGCCUUGAGAAAGGAAAGCAAGAGAGGCAAAGAAGUGUGCUGAAGUUGCAGGUGGCCGUGCUGGGGAAGGACCAGGGAAGCCAGGCUGGGCCGGGGUGCGUGGCAACGGUGGUGGCGCAGGCAGGGACGCUGCUAGGCCUCACACCUGCUACUCAGCCUCCCCGCUCUCCCCAUGACAUCCCCAAGGGCUGGGGCUCUGGGAGUUGUCCUACCCACCUAAGAGUCAUUCUUCCUCCCCAUCCAGAAAUUCUCAGGGGCCAGGAGAGCCACCUCCCAAGAGCAGGUGGAACUCUCCCACUCGUCCAAGGGGCUCCUGCGGCUCCACCCCUCGGAGCACUUGCUCGCCUUCUUGCACACCCCAUUCCUUUUCCACACGGAUUCUCCAGAAAACAUCAGUGGCUAAAGAUAGGCACGGCUGUGGAGUCCUGACUGCUUUCUCCCCUCGUGUGAUGCCUCCCUUCCAGGCCUUUCCCUCGGUGUUCGCCUAGGUGUCUCAGUGGGCAGUGGGUGAGCUGGGACUCCAUCUCUCUGAUGCGAAGGGGACUCAGGUUCUGCGCCAUCCACUCGAGGCGUCAAGGCAUCGGGCUGUCUAAGCAGCUGUCUUGGUAUCAAGGCACGAAGCGUCUGGUUGUGGUCUGGCCCCCCUGAUCCCUCCCCCACGGGGACACUGCCUCAUUACCCUUGCUGUGGGAUUCCAGGUGGGGACAAGGCAGGGACGGCCAACACUUGAAACGCAUGUCUCCUCCCGUCCCAACCUGGCACCGAUGGCACACGUCAACAGUCUAUCAUGCCCGAUUUCUCAACACAGCGCUUCUGGCAGCAUCACAAACGAUUGCACUUGGAACUCCAGAUGCGCCUCCACGGGCUUUGCCAAGAAUUCUAAUGAGAACCAGACGCUCUCACUCCGUCCUUCACCUGCAGAUCUCGCAGCGGAGAUAUUGCUGCCACUUGGGUUUGGAGUCCGAGCGUGCUUUGUUUUCAAUUCUCCCCUGUAGGAAUCGGGCCCCUGAGAGUCCGAGAAAGCAUUUCAGAUUUUUCUUUUCUUUAUUCUCCAGCCAAAAUGCACCAGGUCAAAGUAUGAAAGGGAGAAAACUCAGGACGUUGGGUGGGGAGCUGGGGCUGGUCACCCACUGGAAGCCCCGGGAGCUAAAGAGCUCACCCCUUGACAGAAAACAGAGGGAAUCCCAGUUUGUACGGGGGUGGGGGGAAGCUGGUUGCUGUGUCCUUGCAGUGUCCCUGGGUGCAGUCCCCACGCAUCCACCCCCAGAGGCCAGUGGAGGUCAAUGA
rnacentral:lncRNA from 12 species